AGUUUUGAUGGCUUUAGUCCAGAAUUAGCGCUUGUGACAAUUGGAGGAGGGAAGGAGCUUGAAGAAAAGCUUGUGGUAAAUAUAUUUAUCAGCUUUCCCUAUAUAUAUUUUUAUCAUCCUUUUUCUCUUUGUAUGCUGGUCAAAUUCUUGAAUACAACCUCAGUUUCCAUUUUGAUUGUUGCACUUCUUAAGGUUCUGGCAAGUUAGGCCUACAAGUGAAACAAUCGUGAAUCAUAUGUUUACUCAAUGGAUUCAUAGUUACCGUGAUCUCCCGCUUAUGAUCAACCAGAUGUCUCUUCAUCACAUUAUUUCUCGUUUUCUUCACUUGGAGGAGUGUUGCUUGACCAAAAGAAGUUCAACCAAAAUUAGCAAAGAGUUAACAAAAUGUCCUAAAAAGGUUUCAAAGAACGUACUUUUUUGCGCCAUCAGGGUUCUUAUCCGCCUCAUUCGCCCAAUCAUACGACUUGAUAUGCAUGGUCCCGAAGAGAAGUUUGCUGAAAACCAUCAUUCCCGGAUGGUUAUGAAGAGGAAUGACACUUGAAGGUGGCAAGCAAAAAAUUCCAAUUUGCAAUAGUUAGCGAUCAACAAAGUAAAUGAGGCAUGAGGAAGGUUUACAGUGUAACGGGAUGCAAAGUAUACAUACUGAGAAUUUUCCCACUCAUGAAGGUGUAGAUGGGUUAUCAUGGGAGCUCUUUUAUCAUUAAAAAAUAGCAUAUUUGGCUUCAAGCCCACGUUUGCUUGAGUCAUCUUUUCUGCAAGAAUUAAGUAUGUUUUUAGCUUAGUCGUAGGACUCGAAAUUGAAAUAAAAUAGUAAUUU
rnacentral:lncRNA from 1 species